UGGAAGUAAAAGUCGUAACAAGGUCUCCGUUGGUGAACCAGCGGAGGGAUCAUUACCGAGUUUAC
rnacentral:rRNA from 2 species